rnacentral:sRNA from 1 species
UAGCUAUAAAAAAUAGACACACGGUAUACUGCGGAUAAAAUAUUCAAAAUUUUAAAAUCCACCACACAUCGUUACAU